rnacentral:rRNA from 1 species
AGUGAACGCUGGCGGUAGGCCUAACACAUGCAAGUCGAACGGCAGCACAGUAAGAGCUUGCUCUUACGGGUGGCGAGUGGCGGACGGGUGAGGAAUACAUCGGAAUCUACUUUUUCGUGGGGGAUAACGUAGGGAAACUUACGCUAAUACCGCAUACGACCUACGGGUGAAAGCAGGGGAUCUUCGGACCUUGCGCGAUUGAAUGAGCCGAUGUCGGAUUAGCUAGUUGGCGGGGUAAAGGCCCACCAAGGCGACGAUCCGUAGCUGGUCUGAGAGGAUGAUCAGCCACACUGGAACUGAGACACGGUGCAGACUCCUACGGGAGGCAGCAGUGGGGAAUAUUGGACAAGGGGCGCAAGCCUGAUCCAGCCAUACCGCGUGGGCGAAGAAGGCCUUCGGGUUGUAAAGCCCUUUUGUUGGGAAAGAAAAGCAGCAGGUUAAUACCCCGCUGUUCUGACGGUACCCAAAGAAUAAGCACCGGCUAACUUCGUG